AACGAACGCUGGCGGCAUGCCUAACGCAUGCAAGUCGAACGAGACCUUCGGGUCUAGUGGCGCACGGGUGCGUAACGCGUGGGAACCUGCCCUUAGGUUCGGAAUAACUCCCCGAAAGGGGUGCUAAUACCGGAUAAUGUCUUCGGACCAAAGAUUUAUCGCCUUUGGAUGGGCCCGCGUUGGAUUAGCUAGUUGGUAGGGUAAAAGCCUACCAAGGCGACGAUCCAUAGCUGGUCUGAGAGGAUGAUCAGCCACACUGGGACUGAGACACGGCCCAGACUCCUAUGGGAGGCAGCAGUGGGGAAUAUUGGACAGUGGGCGAAAGCCUGAUCCAGCAAUGCCGCGUGAGUGAUGAAGGCCUUAGGGUUGUAAAGCUCUUUUACCCGGGAUGAUAAUGACAGUACCGGGAGAAUAAGCUCCGGCUAACUCCGUG
rnacentral:rRNA from 1 species